AUCACGUUAAAACACCGGUUCCUGUAAGAUCAGCGGAGUUAAGCAACGUCGCGCCUGGUCAGUACCUACAUGGGUAAACGCUUGGGAAUACCAAGUCUUGUA